rnacentral:RNase_P_RNA from 1 species
GAGGAAAGUCCGGGCUACAUAGGGCAGAGUGCCGGAUAACGUCCGGGGGGCGCGAGCCUACGACAAGUGCAGCAGAGAGCAGACCGCCGUUUUUAAUAAAACGGUAAGGGUGAAAGGGUGCGGUAAGAGCGCACCGCGCGGGUGGUAACAUUCCGCGGCAAGGUAAACUCCACUCGUAGCAAGACCAAAUAGGAACUCAAUGAGUGUGCCCGCUCAGAGUUCGGGUAGGUUGCUUGAGCGACGGAGCAAUUCGUCGCCUAGAGGAAUGAUUGUCCGCGACAGAACCCGGCUUA